GUCACUAGCAAAUGUCUGUUCUGAGGUUUUUUUAUCCUUUCUUUUAUGGAUGGAGAUUAAUCAUAGAAUCAUAGAACUGUAGAGUUGGAAGGGAC